GCCACGGUCGCAGUUUAAAUUCCCACAGGGACCACAUACAAACUAAAUAGUCUUCUCUCACUGAACCGCAAGUGGCUUUGGAUCAGAGCGUCUGCUAAGUGGAAUAUAUUUGAAGUGACAUCAUAUCUCACCAUUCUAGCUGGAAUGGCAGAGUAUUCAACACAUGAAGCUAUGUCAAUCACAUCUGUCAAAUAGAAAUCCAGGUUGGAUGUGAGGACAGCAGCACAGUGAAGUUGUCCGGGGUGUUGGAGAAACACGCCUGGAGAUGCAGGGACAUGCAGAAAACAUGCAUGAGAGAGAGAAGGAGCAUGCAGCCAGCCAAGAGUGCUUGUUGUUUGUAUGUGAAACAUCACACACACACACCUCAACUCACGCGAUCCCGCUCAAACCACAACAUACACACGGGGGCGAGCGGGGUCGCGCACACACAUGACUCAACACACACGUGAGCGCAAUCCCGCUCAAGAUACGCGCGCAUGACCCCACUCAAACAAACACACACACACACACACACACACACACACACACACACACACACACACACACACACACACACACACACACACACACACACACACACACACACACACACACACACACACACACACACACACAGUUAUUGUGGUUGCUGUAGUAAAAUGAACAAGUCCUUCCAUAUCUUGGCUAGUGUUAUCACUGAUCUGGCAGUAGUAAGCAUCUGCUUCUCCAUAGAACUCUGUUCUCUUCCUCAGAGAACCCUGCUGGUUCUGCUGGUCCACCCGGCCCAGAUUCUACUGUCGCCAGGGGAGUCUCUCUCACACCUACAACAGAAAAACACACAACUCUCUCUCCUCCACACACACAGAGUCCGAAUACAGUAUGCCGCAAAGUUCACAGUCUCACACGCCAGUUCACAUCACACUCAGGUGACACUCAGAAUCUUUUCCAUACUGCAGGUUAAGUUCCUGCCGACAGGGAAGGUUGCAGAAUCACAAAGCCUGUGGUCCGUUUGUACAACUACCAUUGGCUGGAUCAGAGCCAUGCACUUGAAAUGUAUGACUAUGGGCUGAAUCAUUCAUUCAUUCACUCACACUCAGAGAAAGUCUGCUCUCAUUACCAGAAAACCGCCUCAUACAACAAAUAAUCCAGCAAUGUAAACACACACACACCAAGCAGGGGACGCAAUGGUACUGCUGUAACGGUAGUAAAAGUGAUGGAGCACACGGAACUGAAGACACAGAGCAUGCAACAGUAUGGGGGAAGGUAACGGGCAGGUAGGGACAAGUAGGGAGGAGUGUAACGGGCAGGUAGGGACAAGUAGGGAGGAGUGUAACAGGCAGGUAGGGACAAGUAGGGAGAAGUGUAACGGGCAGGUAGGGACAAGUAGGGAGGAGUGUAACGGGCAAGUAGGGACAAGUAGGGAGGAGUGUAACGGGCAGGUAGGGACAAGUAGGGAGGAGUGUAACGGGCAGGUAGGGACAAGUAGGGAGGAGUGUAACAGGCAGGUAGGGACAAGUAGGGAGAAGUGUAACGGGCAGGUAGGGACAAGUAGGGAGGAGUGUAACGGGCAAGUAGGGACAAGUAGGGAGGAGUGUAACGGGCAGGUAGGGACAAGUAGGGAGGAGUGUAACGGGCAGGUAGGGACAAGUAGGGAGAAGUGUAACGGGCAGGUAGGGACAAGUAGGGAGGAGUGUAACGGGCAAGUAGGGACAAGUAGGGAGGAGUGUAACGGGCAGGUAGGGACAAGUAGGGAGGAGUGUAACGGGCAGGUAGGGACAAGUAGGGAGGAGUGUAACAGGCAGGUAGGGACAAGUAGGGAGAAGUGUAACGGGCAGGUAGGGACAAGUAGGGAGGAGUGUAACGGGCAAGUAGGGACAAGUAGGGAGGAGUGUAACGGGCAGGUAGGGACAAGUAGGGAGGAGUGUAACGGGCAGGUAGGGACAA